CUCUCCGUCCUGCUGUUGAGAGCUCCGACCAGGCUUGUUAAAAUUAAUCUCCGUGCUCGACCAGGGAACAGGACAGUUGUUUCUCUUGCCGUGGACCGCUCUGAGCCGCGUUGAGAACCGAUGUUCCUAAACGCCCCACAAGCAGGCUGCACAAGUGCACUGUGGCCGUGGAAGGGAAAGUUGCGUUCGGGGGAAACUCGUACCCUCUGUUCAGGUGGAUUAUCCUGUCCAACUGCUUCGUCUGCCACCCGAGAUUCAUCGCCGCUGCCUGUGCACCUUGUCCGGAUGCUGACAUCUGGAUGUUGGUCAAGUCCAAGGGGGCAGGUUCCACUCCUCCUGUCAAGGUGGAUGGUAGUCACCGGGGCGGAUGUUGGACGUGAAUGUAGGAGCAGCAUGGUCAUCACUGAGGGCAUACAGAGGAGUUGGAGGAAGGACAAUAGAGUGUGUCUUGGCCCAUCGGAGGCGGCUGGCCGCCAGGACUCUCUCAGCUCGCUCCCUCAAGACCCCUGGCUCCACAGAAACAGGAAAUGGCCGCAUUUGGCUGAUUAUCCCUGGAGGAGGAACAUGGAUGGGUUCCUGAGACUGACUCAUGGUUUCUGUUUGGAGAGGUCCAGUACAGUGCAGGCCGGCCCGACUGGAACCUGUGUUUACACAGCCUCUCAGGCCAGACUGGGAGGCCCUAUUUUCACACCCAGGUGCUUUCCAAAGAAAACCUCCUGCAGAGGCCCCUCGCCUAAGACGCCUCCAUCAGAGUGAAAACCUCCCGUCUCAGGCCACCAGGAGGAGUCCCCCUCGUGCCAGCAGGGCAGGCGGUUGAAUGUGACCCAUCAGCAGAGUCCGGUCACUUCUCCAGUCUGUACCGCAGCAGCAGCAGCAGCAGCAGCAGCAGCAGCAGCAGCAGCAGCGUGGCCCACACCCAGUCUGAGCCUCGGGCAGACCGCCAUGAUCUCAGCUUCUCCGUAAAUGUUUCAAGUCCGAGAGACCGUCAGCUAUCAAAGGCCUAGAGACUUGCACCUCUGGAAGUGAUGGAUGAACCCAAGGUCUGGAGAGACAAGUCAUGGACAGAUGGCUCAGAUACACACACUCCAAUUCCAACACAGCGGCCUCCAGACUAAAGCAAGAGGGACAUCUAGUGGUGGAGAGUGUAACUCCACCAUCACUACAUAUUUCUCCCAUCCUGAACUGGUGGAAACUUAAUCGAAAAAUCUCUAGCAAAUGUUUGAAUUGCCAAGUUUCAAACAGCCACUGUAAAAUUUGGAAAAAAGUAUAUUAUUAAUUUAGCCAAUAAUGCAUGCAAUGAAAAAGGUUACUCAUAAAUUUAGGAAAACAUCUCCACUGCUUUUAAAGAGUUCCUAUUCAAAAAAAAUGGCAUAAUUAUAAAUGUUGAGUGAAUCAAGACAAUUAAUAGUCAUUUGAAUUAAAAUGAAUACACCUU